GCCAUUUAUUUAUCAUUAUCAUUUAUUAUCAAUAUCAUGAUGCUGGCGGCGAUGCUGUUGGAUUUAGAGUAUACUAUGCAGGUUACAAGACAGAAGACCUGCAUUGCCCUCAUUUUUGCAUGUCUACUUAGAAUGGCGAUUUCCGUCGUUCAGAGCCAAGCGUUCGCAAAUUGCACUUACUCUUGCAACUUUGAGGUUGAGGACGAAUGCCAAUGGAGCCAAGAUAUUUUAAGCGAUAAUUUAAAUUGGUUAAGAAAACAAGGCCACAUAAGAGGCUCUCAGGGAAUCAUCUAUGAAGGUCCAUUUGUAUAGACCAUACGAAGGGUUCAGGCGUUCUGAAAAGCACUAGUCAAGGACCAGGUGCACUGCAAUUCCGCGGAGGAAAAUGUAUUCAUAUAUAUGGAGGUGGUUUUAAAAAACCAGAGGAUGGAAGUAGACUUGUAAUUCACAGUGGCUGUAGUGAAGAAAGACUGAAAUUCGAGUUAGGAUCAGACGGAAUAU